GCACAGAAGUUAGCCGUCUCUUCCUCUUCAGGUACUAUCAGUCUUCCAGUAGUUACUUGGAAGGUUUGUUCCCUAAUGACAGGAGUUUACAAUCCGAAGACCUUCAUCCUCCACGCGGCGUCGCUCCUUCAGGGUUUCCCCCAUUGAGAAAAAUUCUCGA
rnacentral:rRNA from 1 species